AUCAGCCAAUGCAGUGCCACCGAAAAAUGGAUAUAGAUCAUCUGGUAGAGUUGCCUGAAAAAUGUCCUGAAGGCUGUUUCCACAGGAAAGUCUCUUUCCAGAUAUUCUCAGACCCAAUAUAUACACACACACACACACAAGUCUAUAAUUAUCCAUAUUUGACUACAGCAUCAAACACAGAGGCCAUAAAAGGAGGUUGAUACCAAAUCUAUCGUGAUUGCACUGCCAUUACAUAUAAACAGCCACAUGAGUAACUGUAGUUUACAAGCACAGACAAAAUGUUAAUAGAAGAAAAGGACACACACCGCGUCAAGUGGUUUUGAAGAUGUUUAGCAGACAGCUCAAACAAUUGCAAGUGGAAAUGAAGUCCAACAUCAACCACUGUUGCUCCAUUCCACCUUAUCUCCUCUUCUGUAGAUCAACCCUAGAUCUACUAAUGGACAGCAGUGCAGUGUGUACCUGGUAGCUCUGCCACUCACCAUGUCCAGGACAGCAGGGAAUAAGACCUCUGUAGUCUACACAGAUGAGGGAGAAGAGAAGAACAUUAAGAAGAUCUGUGACAAGUCCCACUGCACUUUGUUUUUUCAGCACAGCAGGGCUCCAGAGGAAAAUGAAGGUAGGGCUCUUGUGUCAGCAUCCAACAUCUAUGGGGUAAAAGCUCCACAACAAAUUAUGCAAGCACAAACUGGUCACUUUGUAUUGUCUCUUUAUUCUAUCAGUGACAACAGUGCAGCAACAGCUUGUCUGUGA
rnacentral:lncRNA from 1 species